rnacentral:snRNA from 1 species
GUGCUCUCCUCUCAGGCAGCACAUUUACUGAAAUUAGAAGGACACAGAGAAGAUUAGCCUGGCCCUGGAGCAAGGACGAUGCGCAAAUUCGUGCAGUGUUCCCUUUUUUU